rnacentral:rRNA from 1 species
ACAUGCCUACAACAUAGCGUUAAUGCAUCGGAUCCCAUUAGAACUCCACAGUUAAGCGUGCUUGGGAUGGAGUAGCACGUGGAUGGGUGACCACCUGGGAAGUCCUAGUAUUUUACAUGCC